ACGUGGACCGCGCGUGCGCGCACGCACGCAACCCGGCUCGGUGGAGCGCAGGGUGGGGCGGUAGGCGCGGUGGACCGCGUGGGAGGACGAGGCGGGAGCGCGCACGCACGCCGACCCGCGGGCCCCAUGUGCGCCAACACUCAGGGCGGGCUCCCGGGCACGCAUGCGCCACUGGUGAGGCGGCGCGCUCCUGGCCGGGAGAUGCUGGGCGCGGCGGGACAGGCGCGGCCCUGCGGCCUCUUCGGCGGGAGGCGGGAUUCGCUCGGGCAGACGCGGUCAGGCACGCGGCUUCCAGGCGCUGGCCAGCCUGUCGUUGUCUGCGCCCCGUGGAGUGAGGGUACUUGGGGUCUUUGGGGCAUAGGCCGGCGCAGGACCGGUGCAGUGGCUCACGCCUGUAAUGCCAGCACUGGGAGGCUGAGGUGGAUGGAUCACUUGAGGUUCGAGGUGCAAGACCAGCUUGGCCAAUGUGGUGAAACCCCAUCUCUGCUAAAAAUGCAAAAGUUAGCCUGGUGUGGUGGCACGCAUCUGUAAUCCCAGCUACUUGGGAGGCUGAGGCAGGAGGAUCACUUCAGCCUGGGAGGUGGAGGCUGCAGUGAGCCAUGAUUGUGCCACUGCCAGCCUGGGCAACUGAACACGACCCUGCCUCAAAUAAACAGACAAAAUGCUGUUCCCCACA